rnacentral:rRNA from 1 species
UACGAAGGAUCCUAGCGUUGUCCGGAUUUACUGGGUUUAAAGGGUGCGUAGGCGGAUAAUUAAGUCAGUGGUGAAAGCUUGCAGCUUAACUGUAAAAUUGCCAUUGAAACUGAUUAUCUCGAGUGCGGUUGAGGUCACUGGAAUGUAUCAUGUAGCGGUGAAAUGCUUAGAUAUGAUACAGAACACCAAUUGCGAAGGCAGGUGACUAAACCAUAACUGACGCUGAGGCACGAAAGCGUGGGGAUCAAACAGG